rnacentral:tRNA from 1 species
GGAGGAAUACUCAAGAGGCCGAAGAGGCGCCCCUGCUAAGGGCGUAGGUCGGGCAACUGGCGCGAGGGUUCAAAUCCCUCUUCCUCCGCCA